rnacentral:rRNA from 1 species
UACAGAGGGUGCGAGCGUUAAUCGGAAUUACUGGGCGUAAAGCGCGCGUAGGCGGCUUUUCAAGUCGAUUGUGAAAUCCCCGGGCUUAACCUGGGAACUGCAGUCGAGACUGUCUAGCUAGAGUAUGGGAGAGGGAAGUGGAAUUUCAGGUGUAGCGGUGAAAUGCGUAGAUAUCUAAAGGAACAUCAGUGGCGAAAGCGACUUCCUGGACCAAUACUGACGCUCAUGUGCGAAAGCGUGGGGAGCAAACAGG